GGCGGCAGGCCUAACACAUGCAAGUCGAGCGGUAGAGAGAAGCUUGCUUCUCUUGAGAGCGGCGGACGGGUGAGUAAUACCUAGGAAUCUGCCUGAUAGUGGGGGAUAACGUUCGGAAACGGACGCUAAUACCGCAUACGUCCUACGGGAGAAAGCAGGGGACCUUCGGGCCUUGCGCUAUCAGAUGGGCCUAGGUCGGAUUAGCUAGUUGGUGAGGUAAUGGCUCACCAAGGCUACGAUCCGUAACUGGUCUGAGAGGAUGAUCAGUCACACUGGAACUGAGACACGGUCCAGACUCCUACGGGAGGCAGCAGUGGGGAAUAUUGGACAAUGGGCGAAAGCCUGAUCCAGCCAUGCCGCGUGUGUGAAGAAGGUCUUCGGAUUGUAAAGCACUUUAAGUUGGGAGGAAGGGCAGUUACCUAAUACGUGAUUGUCUUGACGUUACCGACAGAAUAAGCACCGGCUAACUCUGUGCCAGCAGCCGCGGUAAUACAGAGGGUGCAAGCGUUAAUCGGAAUUACUGGGCGUAAGGCGCGCGUAGGUGGUUUGUUAAGUUGAAUGUGAAAUCCCCGGGCUCAACCUGGGAACUGCAUCCAAAACUGGCAAGCUAGAGUAUGGUAGAGGGUAGUGGAAUUUCCUGUGUAGCGGUGAAAUGCGUAGAUAUAGGAAGGAACACCAGUGGCGAAGGCGACUACCUGGACUGAUACUGACACUGAGGUGCGAAAGCGUGGGGAGCAAACAGGAUUAGAUACCCUGGUAGUCC
rnacentral:rRNA from 1 species